rnacentral:lncRNA from 1 species
AAGGGGUAUUGGGAGACACUAAUGACAAAGUUCUGUGGGAGAUUUUUCUCUGUGAGCAAAGUCCAAAACCUUCAAAGGAAGUGAUCAAUUUUGUGCAAGGAGAAGAUGAAGAAAUAUAUCAAGCUUGGGAUAGAUUUAAUAGACUACUUGAACAAGGAGCUAAGCUUGGAUUCUCAGGUGACGUGUUGUUGCAUAUAUUCUAUUUUUCACUAACCCAAAAAUAUUAGGAGUUUGUUCAAAUGUGUGUAGGAGGAGAUCUCCACUAUUGUGUGGGAAUUUAGUGCCUUACACCCAUCGAAGCCUGUAAGUACUCGUGACCUCAGCCCCCGAGUACUUAUUUUGAAUGUACGUAUCAACUGACUUGUCUCAUUUUGCAGGAAGAUGUUGCUUUGUACUUCUCUGCUCCUCCUGGAUCCGAAGAAUUCUGUGAAGCCGCUCCUUAUGUGUUUACACAAGAAGGCAUGAUAG